UACAGAGGUCCCAAGCGUUGUUCGGAUUCAUUGGGCGUAAAGGGUGCGUAGGCGGCGCGGUAGGUCGGGUGUGAAAUCUCGGAGCUUAACUCCGAAACUGCAUUCGAUACUGCGGUGCUUGAGGACUGGAGAGGAGACUGGAAUUCAUGGUGUAGCAGUGAAAUGCGUAGAGAUCAUGAGGAAGACCAGUGGCGAAGGCGGGUCUCUGGACAGUUCCUGAUACUGAGGCACGAAGGCCAGGGGAGCAAACGGG
rnacentral:rRNA from 1 species